CAUAAAAUAUAAUAAAAGUCAAUCAAGACUACAAUAUAUAGAUUAAUUUUCGAAUGAAAGAAACCUCAAAAAAAACAAAGUUUGUUUUCUCCUUACCUUACAUUCCAUUUUCGAAGAUUUAUCAAAUCUUAUCCAAAACCUUUUAUCUCCAUCACGAAUCGAAAAACCACGAAUGACAAUCCUGUGCACACGAGCAGUAUUCGUCUCGACGGAACAUAGGUUAGUAGUAUCGGUCAAGGUUAAGCAAUCGAUGCUGGAAAUUCACGCGGUCCAAGCGGCUGUAUUGGCAUCGGGCCUUGGCGCGGCUGGCUACGCCCCUGUCGAGUGGGGACACCCGUGAAACAAUAAACCCUUUUUACAGACGUCCACGAGGAAGUUGAAGCGUCGCGUCGGCUUCAAAGCGAUUCAACCUCGCGUUUCGGCGUUGAGAACAAUUCUCGAAUGUCGUCGUAUUUCUUUCUCCCUCUCUCCCUUCCCCUCGCGAAUAUCCUCUUUACGAUUCCCUCGCGGUAGCAGUUCUUUCUUCGGGAAUAAGCUCCUUAGUUCGCGAAAGGAAACGCGACAGGAGGAGAGAAUUAAUUUCCACGAGAAUUUCUGUCUUUCUGUCAAGGACGAGCCAGCACGUGGACAACGAACAUCCGUAUAUCCGGGAGCAUAUAGGCGGAAUAGAGAUUCGGCCAAGGUCGGACAAUGAAAAUCCUUCUGACCCUGUAAUUAUUUGGCAUUGCACUUUGGCUGAACUCACGGCCCUGACCAUCGUUCUCGAUGUGGUUAAUUUUCGUUCCUGGCUCCCGACUACUUGAUUAAACG